CCUACGGGUGGCUGCAGUGAGGAAUAUUGGUCAAUGGACGAGAGUCUGAACCAGCCAAGUAGCGUGAAGGAUGACUGCCCUAUGGGUUGUAAACUUCUUUUAUAUGGGAAUAAAAUGUUCCACGUGUGGGAUUUUGUAUGUACCAUAUGAAUAAGGCUCGGCUAACUCCGUGCCAGCAGCCGCGGUAAUACGGCGGAUCCGAGCGUUAUCCGGAUUUAUUGGGUUUAAAGGGAGCGUAGGUGGAUUGUUAAGUCAGUUGUGAAAGUUUGCGGCUCAACCGUAAAAUUGCAGUUGAAACUGGCAGUCUUGAGUACAGUAGAGGUGGGCGGAAUGCGUGGUGUAGCGGUGAAAUGCUUAGAUAUCACGAAGAACUCCGAUUGCGAAGGCAGUUCACUGGACUGCAACUGACACUGAGGCUCGAAAGUGUGGGUAUCAAACAGGAUUAGAUACCCUAGUAGUC
rnacentral:rRNA from 1 species